rnacentral:rRNA from 1 species
AUGCUGGAGGUAUCAGAAGUGCGAAUGCUGACAUAAGUAACGAUAAAGCGGGUGAAAAGCCCGCUCGCCGGAAGACCAAGGGUUCCUGUCCAACGUUAAUCGGGGCAGGGUGAGUCGACCCCUAAGGCGAGGCCGAAAGGCGUAGUCGAUGGGAAACAGGUUAAUAUUCCUGUACUUGGUGUUACUGCGAAGGGGGGACGGAGAAGGCUAUGUUGGCCGGGCGACGGUUGUCCCGGUUUAAGCGUGUAGGCUGGUUUUCCAGGCAAAUCCGGAAAAUCAAGGCUGAGGCGUGAUGACGAGGCACUACGGUGCUGAAGCAACAAAUGCCCUGCUUCCAGGAAAAGCCUCUAAGCAUCAGGUAACAUCAAAUCGUACCCCAAACCGACACAGGUGGUCAGGUAGAGAAUACCAAGGCGCUUGAGAGAACUCGGGUGAAGGAACUAGGCAAAAUGGUGCCGUAACUUCGGGAGAAGGCACGCUGAUAUGUAGGUGAAGUCCCUCGCGGAUGGAGCUGAAAUCAGUCGAAGAUACCAGCUGGCUGCAACUGUUUAUUAAAAACACAGCACUGUGCAAACACGAAAGUGGACGUAUACGGUGUGACGCCUGCCCGGUGCCGGAAGGUUAAUUGAUGGGGUUAGCGCAAGCGAAGCUCUUGAUCGAAGCCCCGGUAAACGGCGGCCGUAACUAUAACGGUCCUAAGGUAGCGAAAUUCCUUGUCGGGUAAGUUCCGACCUGCACGAAUGGCGUAAUGAUGGCCAGGCUGUCUCCACCCGAGACUCAGUGAAAUUGAACUCGCUGUGAAGAUGCAGUGUACCCGCGGCAAGACGGAAAGACCCCGUGAACCUUUACUAUAGCUUGACACUGAACAUUGAGCCUUGAUGUGUAGGAUAGGUGGGAGGCUUUGAAGUGUGGACGCCAGUCUGCAUGGAGCCGACCUUGAAAUACCACCCUUUAAUGUUUGAUGUUCUAACGUGGACCCGUAAUCCGGGUUGCGGACAGUGUCUGGUGGGUAGUUUGACUGGGGCGGUCUCCUCCUAAAGAGUAACGGAGGAGCACGAAGGUUGGCUAAUCCUGGUCGGACAUCAGGAGGUUAGUGCAAUGGCAUAAGCCAGCUUGACUGCGAGCGUGACGGCGCGAGCAGGUGCGAAAGCAGGUCAUAGUGAUCCGGUGGUUCUGAAUGGAAGGGCCAUCGCUCAACGGAUAAAAGGUACUCCGGGGAUAACAGGCUGAUACCGCCCAAGAGUUCAUAUCGACGGCGGUGUUUGGCACCUCGAUGUCGGCUCAUCACAUCCUGGGGCUGAAGUAGGUCCCAAGGGUAUGGCUGUUCGCCAUUUAAAGUGGUACGCGAGCUGGGUUUAGAACGUCGUGAGACAGUUCGGUCCCUAUCUGCCGUGGGCGCUGGAGAAUUGAGGGGGGCUGCUCCUAGUACGAGAGGACCGGAGUGGACGCAUCACUGGUGUUCGGGUUGUCAUGCCAAUGGCACUGCCCGGUAGCUAAAUGCGGAAGAGAUAAGUGCUGAAAGCAUCUAAGCACGAAACUUGCCCCGAGAUGAGUUCUCCCUGACUCCUUGA